rnacentral:rRNA from 1 species
UACGAAGGGGGCUAGCGUUGUUCGGAAUUACUGGGCGUAAAGCGCGUGUAGGCGGUUGCCCAAGUCGGGUGUGAAAGCCUUGAGCUCAACUCAAGAAAUGCACUCGGUACUGGGUGACUAGAGGACCGGAGAGGAUACUGGAAUUCCCAGUGUAGUGGUGAAAUACGUAGAGAUUGGGAAGAACACCAGUGGCGAAGGCGGCUAUCUGGACGGUUUCUGACGCUAAGACGCGAAAGCGUGGGGAGCAAACAGG